CUGGGAUGAUGUUGCUUAGCCAAAUCAGAUAUUGAUGUGCUCCAUAAGGCAUUGUCUUCAAAGCUUGUACUUGGUAUUGUAGAGGCACACUGGGUCUCGUACGUACUCUUGAUCAAGCAUUGGACAAGAUGCCUUCUGUCGAAGCAUAUUGCUGUGACGUCAAAAUAGGGAUUGGUUGGUCCUGACCAGA